AAAUUAUCAAUAUAUAGAUAAUAUUUAAAGGUGUUUGAAAGAUUAAAAAAUAUAAACAUAAGUCCUGAUUAAUAAACUUCGAAAGAAGAAGGAUACAUCUUGCAAAUAAUAAAAGUAAGGAUAAAAUAGUAUUUUUUUAUAGUAAAGAUUAUUGUGAAAAAUAGAACAAAUAUUUUGGUCAUUUAGAAGAAUAGCCCGGAAAAUGUUGGAUUCUUCGGGGCCUUGUAAAUUUAAGCCCCUUGAAUCUUGGCAGCUAUUAACCAUCUCAAUUUGAUUAUUGAGAAAUUGACACCAGAGCAUCAUCCCACAAUAUCUUCCUCUACGGUAAGCUGCAACUCUUCAACCAAGUCCCUAUCCUCAACACAUUCACGUACAACGUUCUCAUUCGAGCUUAUGAUCAUAGCAACACAAUGAACAUGCCUUUUCACCCCAGGAGCUGCUUGAACAAGAAAACCUUGCCCAGUUAAACAUACUUUUUCCUUUGUUCUAAAACCCUGUAUUUAUUUAUUGGCUAUUAAUGAAGGGAGACAAGGCCCAAGCUCAACUUUUGGAAAAUGGGUUUGGCUCAGAUGUUUAUAUAAGCAACAGUUUGUUUCAUUUUUAUGCUUCUUGAGGGUGAAUGGAACAUGCGAGAAAGGUGUUUGAUAAGAUGCCUGAAAGAACUGUAUUCAUGGAACGUGAUUAUGGAUGUGCUCAUGCAAAUGGGAGAGUUUCAUGAGGGGUUGAAUAUGUUCGUUGAGAUGAAAAAAUGGUUCGUUGGGAUGGAUACACAUAGAUGCUUGCGCAGGAUUGAGGACUUUGUGGG
rnacentral:lncRNA from 1 species